GAACCAUCAGACGCAUUUCUUCGCCUCUUCUCAUCUUCAUCUUUUCUCAAAUUCCAGUUUCUAAUUUUAUCAAUUUCCCUUCCUCUACUGAAGCAAAAUUUUGUAUACGGUUUCGUCAAAAAUAAGAAAUACCGAACUCUGAUUUACAUGCCUGGAAAGUUUAGAAUUGGGAUUUUUUGGGCUUCUAAUUCAGUUUUUUUGCGGUUUUUGGAAAUAUGGUUGAAGCUAGGAUAUCAUUGUUCGGAGAAAAUACUGAUAAAUUUUUAGCAUUUGCGUCUUCUUGAUCAACAAUUAAUCCUCAUAUUGAUGAUGGGGUGAUAAAAGUAGAAUAUAAAGAUUCUAAGAGCAAUUGAUAGUUUAUCGGCAAGGGGCCAAGCUUUAUUAGGUUUUUGGAAUCAUGGCUGAAGGACACUAUUGUUCAAAGAAAACUAUGCAAUUUGUGUUGAUAUUUAUGAUCAGCGUCCCUCUAUUGGUUGGAGAGGAAGGGGCACAGAUGCUGCGCAAGACGUCCGCAAAGCGCUUCGCCAGGCGAUGGGCGAGGCGGGCGAGGCGAGGCAGGCAAGGCGAUGGGCAAGGCGGGCGAGGCGUUGGUCAGGUUAUAAUUUGUUUUAAUUGGGUGAGAUUUGUUACUACUUUGGGUUUGUCAAUCUUUUAAAUUAUAAACUGAUUUGGUUGUUUGAAUUUAAUUUUUUUUGUGUGAUUUGGUGGUAUGAAUUUAUUUAGAUUUGGUGGUAUGAUUUGUUGUUGAGUCUUGAUAAGAUUGUUGGGACUUUGGCAAUGGUCUAUAACAUAAGUUUAGUUGGUUAAAUUGUGGGCCAUGACAAUCAAAUGUAACACCUAAUAUUUUGGGCCAUUUAUAUCUUGGUGUAUACCUAAUAUUCUGGUCUACCCAAGCAACAUUGAAAUUGUGUUGUUUGUUUGUAGAAAUAUCCUCAAUUUUUUGCGUUGAAUGCGGAAAUUAAGUAUUUUAGUGAAAAUCAUGAUAUUAUUUUCAGCUAGUAUGAUGUGUAGGGGUUUAAUUAGGGGUUUGAUCCUGUUGUUUAGAAUGUCUUGUGUGUUUUUCUAGUGGGUUGUCUUUUUUUAGUGUAUUGCAUCCCUAGAAUCAACUAAGUUAACUUGUUUGUGUAAAAUCAGUUUUAAAUCAGUUUUAAAUUCACAUUGUCACUGUCUAUUCUACACUGAUGUUUUUUGUUCUGUUACAAUUCAGUUUUGGUAAUGUGUUUAGCUCUAUUGAGUUUGUGUAAAAUGCCAUUUUAAAAGCUUUAAUUAUAUAGAUUUCAGUUUUUUUAAGUGUAUUGCAUUCUUAGAAUCUAAUAAAAUCUGAAAAUAGAGAUUACAUUCAAAUAACAACUUAUUUAAUUAAAAUCACGAUAAAAUCUGUAAUAAUUAAUUAAUUUUGUUUAAGAGAUUGAUUUCAGUUUCCAUUAUUAUUUUAGAUAAUAAAAAAACUAAUGGUUUCAAUUCAUAAUAAAGAAAUAUUUUGAAUAUACCUUAUAUUUUGAAAUCUGCAAUUAGAUAUUAAAAAAAAUAUAAGAGAUUAGUUAAUUAAAAGCAUGACCAUACUAAAGAACUUGUCUAGCCUUUGGCAACAGAACAAUCUUAAAAAAAAGUACAUGUGUAUAAUUAAAUAUAAAAUAAUUAAAUCAAAAUAUAUAAAAGCAUGAAUACAUACCUUGUAUUUUCAAAUCUGCAAAAUAAAUAAACGCAAGUGUGAGAUUCAAUUUACAUAGCAACAAUCUUAAAAAAAGAAAAUAUGUAUGCAUAAAAUUCACGAAUUUAUUUUAUGUUUUUACUUUAUAUCCAAUCUUAAAAGUUUAGUUGUUAUGAGUACAAUAAUUCCUUGUAUUAUUAUGCAUACAAAGAUUUUAAUGACUUUAACCUUGAAGUCUGAAUAUGUCCAUACAAUUAAAUUAGAAAUUCACGAAUUUGUUAAAAUUUUUAUUGUUUAAUUUAUGUUUUUAUUUUUUUGCAAGGAUGAAAAGUGUACUUAUGUGUAUUGGAGCGACUUCAAGAAGAAAGAACAGUGAUGUGGUUCUUCUGGGAAAACAACUUUCUUCUGGUUUUGAUUUGCAGUACGGGAGAGGUUUUCUUCUUGUGGUUUCUUGAGAAUUUUUUCUUCUGGUUUCUGGACGUCUCUUACUGUUUUUGAUUUCUGCGGAAAUAAUUUUAUUCAUAAGCUGUAAUAUUAUUCGUUUCUGUUUUUAUUUGGCAAUUGUAAUAAUUUCUUUCAUUUCUUUCCCUAUCUUUCUUUUCUUUCCUGAUUUAAUCUCUCAAUCAAUCCUAAAUUUGGUAAAAGAGAUAAAGAAGAAUUUAUCAUGAUUUUGGGCGUUGUAAAUCAUGAUUUUGGGCGUUAAAAGUCAAGCCAAUCAGGCCUGUGUUUAAAUUGAUUAAUAUUUGUUUCCUUAAUUUUCAAACGAAAAACCAAAUGUAAUAUUGUGUAAUAUUUUCUUUCCUUAAUUUAUUUUUCUUGCCUGAUUUUAACUAUCAAUCAACGUGAUUUGGGCAUAGAUAUUAUUCUGUGGGCCAUUAAUCACGUUUUGGGCGUUAGAAAUUGGAGGGGGGGUCUGGCACACUAUUAAACAACGAAGGGUAUUUCUGUAAAUUUCCUGGGGGACACGAAAAGUUACUUUACUUAAAAGCCCUCAGGAGCUGACUUAUAGAAUAGUAUUGUUUAAUUUAUGUUUUUAUUUUUUUUGCAAGGAUGAAAAGUGUACUUACGUGUAUUGGAGCGACUUCAAGAAGAAAGAACAGUGAUGUGGUUCUUCUGGGAAAACAACUUUCUUCUGGUUUUGAUUUGCAGUACGGGAGAGGUUUUCUUCUUGUGGUUUCUUGAAAAAAUUUUCUUCUGGUUUCUGGACGUCUCUUACUGUUUUUGGUUUCUGCGGAAAUAAUUUUAUUCAUAAGCUGUAAUAUUAUUCGUUUCUGUUUUUAUUAGGCAAUUGUAAUAA